rnacentral:rRNA from 1 species
UGGGGAAGUAUUGCACAAUGGGGGAAACCCGUAGAUGCAGCGACGCCGCGUGGAGGAAGAAGGUCUUCGGAUUGUAAACUCCUGUUGUUGAGGAAAAAGAAGGAUGGUACUCAACAAGGAAGUGACGGCUAACUACGUGCCAGCAGCCGCGGUAAAACGUAGGUCACAAGCGUUGUCCGGAAUUACUGGGUGUAAAGGGAGCGCAGGCGGGUAUGCAAGUUGGGAGUGAAAUACAUGGGCUCAACCCAUGAACUGCUCUCAAAACUGUGUAUCUUGAGUAGUGCAGAGGUAGGCGGAAUUCCCGGUGUAGCGGUGGAAUGCGUAGAUAUCGGGAGGAACACCAGUGGCGAAGGCGGCCUACUGGGCACCAACUGACGCUGAGGCUCGAAAGUGUGGGUAGCAAACAGGAUUAGAUACCCCAGU